rnacentral:lncRNA from 10 species
AGUUUAAGGUGACACGUGGAGAGCGCGGCGGACGUCCUUACCUCCAGAGGAAGUGGGGAUUUUGAUAGUUCGGGCUGACCUACGCGGUCUCACAGUGAACAUUCAGGAAUGUGCUGGAGUUGCUUUACAACAGCCACUAGCCUGAAAGAGCAAAUAAGGACAUAGAGAAGAAUCACAUGAAUUUUCUUGUAGAAUAUGGUGAUGGGUGCUGUGCAAGAAGAAGGAGGGAAGAAGGAAGCUGAGUGUGCAGCAAAGACACCUGCAGGGACACAUAGAACCAGGCAUUUGCUGAAGGACACCUGGAUUGCACAACCAGCGGCUAACUUGCAUGAAAAAACAUUCUAGGUAAGUUCCAUAAAGGAUCCCAAAAGGGGUGCCAAGAAAUGUCAUAGAUCUGCUCGGGGACUGAGUUUUGCCUUCCCAGGUAUAAAAAGAGUGGACAUCUAGGUGGACUAAAAUCAGAGCUUUGAAGGGCAGAUGGAAUAGACUGGGUAUGAGGUUCUUUGAAGGCAGACAUUGAAGUGGUAUCAUGAUGUCUGGGCUGGCAUGGAAGGAAGUGAAACCGUAGAAACUGGCAUGAUGAGCUGGAGAGAAGG